rnacentral:misc_RNA from 1 species
UACGUAGGGUGCAAGCGUUGUCCGGAUUUAUUGGGCGUAAAGAGCUCGUAGGCGGUUUGUCGCGUCGGAUGUGAAAACCUGUGGCUCAACCACGGGCCUGCAUUCGAUACGGGCAAACUAGAGUUUGGUAGGGGAGAUUGGAACUCCUGGUGUAGCGGUGAAAUGCGCAGAUAUCAGGAAGAACACCGGUGGCGAAGGCGGAUCUCUGGGCCAAUACUGACGCUGAGGAGCGAAAGCGUGGGGAGCAAACAGG